rnacentral:rRNA from 1 species
GCUUACGGCCACACCGCCUGGUUCACGCCAGAUCUCGUUUGAUCUUGGAAGCUAAGAUAGGUUGGGCCUGGUUAGUACUUGGAUGGGAGACCGCCUAGGAAUACCAGGUGCUGUAAGGC